GCGGGCUGAGCCCCUAGUUCGGCCUGUCCCUCCCCGGGUGCUCCCCGCGGGAAAGAGCUGUUGCUUCAGGACACGGCUCCGGGUGAGGCUGGAGGAAAGCAGCACUGUAACCUGGAGGUUAUAUUGCUGAAUGCAAACACUUGUGAAAAUGCAAAGAAGCAAUGGAAAUAAGAAGGAAGUGAACUUAUUUGAACUUUCAGGAAAGACCUUAAACCCCAUUCAACAUAUUUAAAAAAGGGAUGAUGCUGUAGAUGCAUUGAAGUUCUUAUACUCAUGAAAGAUUUUAUUCAUCCAACACUUGUGCGAGGGCGACAGAGUCAGUUAAUGAAAAAGAUGAGCAAUUUGGAUCGAAAAAGGACACCGAGUUGGCAGUGAAAACUGACAGUACAAGCCGACCCUGUUUGGUGGAAACAAAUAACGCUGGUGGGAGGCCUGGAGUCACCUCGCCAUUCCUUGUGUGUGUUGCACCGGCUGCAGUGGAGUUUCUUUGCCAGCACGCUGGAUGCAGAGCUGGGAGAAAAAGUGAACGAGUUGCCAGGGGCUGUCUGGAUGGGAUGCGUGUACAGAGGAAGUGUGAGCCAUCACACCAGCUAUUUGGCAGUUGAGGAACCUGUCUGCAAAAACCAGGCCUUCUCUGAAAU